AUAAGCAUCAUUUAUAAUAUUUGUUUUGGAUUUUAUAAUUAUAAUCAUAAAGCUAUUUAUUGAAAAUGGUCAUAGAGAUUUAUAGUCAUAGAGAUAUGUUCAUAAAAUUCUUCUGUGAAUUUAUCAUACAAAGUAUAAUAUGAGCUAAAUAUAACAAUAGGAUUUGGAGAAGCAAGAAUAAUGCAGAUAUCAGAUAGUUAUUCAAUCUUUGGGGGUAAGAAUUCUAAAUUGGUUUUCUUACCAUACCACAUAGUAUACUACCUAUAUUUUCACAUUUUCCCUAGAGAUUCUCUGAAAUAAGUAAAAAGGUAUCUGUGCACAAAGGAUUAGAAUUGUCCAUGCCUUCUUUAUAUGUUUAUUUGAGAUGUAUGUCUAUCUUAGAACAUCUAUGGAUUAAGAACAUAUAGAGAGCACUAUUUUGUUAUUAUGAUGGCCAUUUCAUCCAUGUGUAAGUUUUGAUGAAAAAAAUGUUAUUAAAACUCAUGACAAAUUAAGUGGAUGUUUAGAAUUAUUAAAGUUAUAUUCUGAAGUCUCAAGAAAUAUAAUUAGGUCCUAUUGUUUUAAAUAGUCUCUGGUCAGAUUAAGUAACAAAUUUAACUGGGCAGUUUGGUGUCCUCAUGAGGUUAAUUUAUUCAGUAUUUUAAUUUAAGGGUAAAUGUUUAUAAAUACUAUUUCAAUGCCUAAUCAGAUGUGAUUAUUUACAUGACAGAUAAAUAGAUGCUUGCCCCUUGGCAGAAGCAACAGUAGGAAGUAAAAUAAAUACACAUACUGGUACUUUAAAGUUUUUUUUUCCUCCAGAGUUGAUAUAGCAUAUAACAAGCAUAUAACACUUCUAUAUUGCUUAGUGGAGUAUUAGAAUUAAUGCAUUAGUGCUUUCUCUAACUGGGAAUGUGAGCCAGCAAUUGAGCCAUGUACAUAAGCAAUCACUCUUGGUUUAAACUUGUGCUCACCUCAACAACUGACUAGUCAUUAGUGAUACUGCUAAUCCCUUAACUGGAAAGGAUGUCUGAAUCCAAUUCCUCUCAGUAAACAGAAUUACAUUACCAAGCCAAUUCCAGGGAGCUUUACAAAAGGUUUAAUGUUGCAUGAACUUGCUCAGUUAAAGAUACAUUAAAAUAAACUUUCCUUUUACUUCAAACAAAAUCACUCAUUUAGCAUUAUGUUUAUUUUUUUAAUGUUAGCAAAUCUUGCAGAAAAGCAGGCCAUCUGAAAAUUCUGUAGAACUAUUUAUUUUGUUUUGGCUAUCAGCGAUAACAAACCUACAAUACACAGAGAGCAAGAUCUUGAGGAAAAUGAUUUUUAAUAUGAACAUCUAUUUCCUAUAUCAAGUAAGUACUUCAACUUUUUCUGCCUUUAAUCAAAAUUUAUUUUUUAUCAAAAGUGUGAUGAAUUUUUCAUUAUUGACAUUGUGGUGAUGCUUUCAUAGUGUAUACAUGUUACAACUUUAUCAAGUUGUACAUUUUAUUAUUUAUUUGUUUGUUUUUCUUUUUUAUCUUUAUGGCCACACUUGCAGGAUGUGGAAGUUCCCAAGCCGCGGUCAAAUCAGAGCUGCAGCUGAAGCCUACGCCACGGCCCUAGAAACACCAGAUCUGACCACGUCUGGGACCUAUACCAUAGCUUAUAGCAAUGCCAGAUCCUUAACCCCCUAAGCAAGGUUAGGGAUUGAACCUGCAUCCUCAAAGAGACAAUGUUGGGUCCUUAACCUGCUGAGCCAUAUUUUAACUCCAAGUUGUACAUUUUAAAUAAGUUUAUUUCAUUAAGUGUUCUAUACUAACAUUUGUUUUGUUUUGGUUUUGGUUCAUUUUUAAGUAGCAAAACCCAGUUUUCUCAAAAAUUCCAUAAAACUCUGGUGUUUAAAUAGAGAUAUACAUAAAAUAUAUGGAUUUAAGCAGGGAGCCUGUGCAAAUUUUUCCUUUCCCUUUGCUUCCGCUCUCUGAGACAGUCCUAAUUACGCCAGGGUCCUUCAGACCCAGUGUAGAAUCCUGACACUUUAUAUUACUGUGUUCCUGAAGGACAUAAAGCACAAUCUUUUUUGUAGAAAUAUUUAUAAUAUAUGCUUAAAAAUGAAAGUUUUGAUACAUAAAGGCCUAAACUUCAACUCUAGCCCAAAACUUAUUUAUAAAAACCUCCUUUUUACAGUGUCUAAGAUGUAACUUACACAAUUCUCAGCAUUUUAAAUGAAUAACCAAUAAAUUCCACACAAAUUCUGUAAAACAUGACUUUUUUGUUCUACAGAUGAGAAAGCAAAGGUUUUGUGAGGCUAUGUGAUUUCUGUUUGCCCAGCCAUAUGUGUGAUAAAUGAUAAAGCCAAGAUUCUACCCGUCUCCUCCAAAUUCUCUUGUCCUAUGAUUUGCAUACAUAUGAUGAUAUUCUAACAUUCUGAGACACCAAGAUACUGACUCAUAACGUGAGUCAAAAGAAACACUGAAAAUAUUUUUCAUUAAAUAUCUGUAAAAAUUAAAAUGGAGAGAGACAGAAUGUUUGUUCAAAGGUCAUACUUGUUAUGAUGGAGCUAUCUUGGAUUCACUCACCUCAACCUACCCAGUCACUGUCAAGAAAAAAUAAAAUCUGUAAAGACCUUGCAGAUAGAUAUAAAAAGUAAUAAAAGUGUGUGAAUUAGAAGCUCCUUAAGUUUGUUUAUUUUUGUUUGUCUAGUCUUCAGUAGAAUUAACUCCCUGAAAUAGGAAUAUUAGACUGGAAAGUUUCUGUUUUCUGUUCUCAAAUUCCUUUCUUAUCUUUUAGAUCAUCAUUGCUCCCUCCACUGCUCUGGCAAGUUUAAUUUUGAUUGGAGACAACUGCUUAGGUUGAUGACACAGAGUAAUGGAUACAAACGUUUUUGAAGAAGUUAAGUUUAACCUAUGAUUCUUUACUUAAUGAUUAAGUGGGCUAACUAGCUAAAAAUAUUUUAGAUUUUCAAGGAUUCAGAAAGUUUAUUAGCUUCCAGUAUUUUUGAAAGAAUAGAGUUUACAUAAUAGUUCUUGUUCAAAACUUAAGUUCACUGAAUGUAGAAAUGUGCAUUAUAUAGACAUUCUCUAAUGUCCCUAUUAGACUCACAGUUCAGUCUGUAUUUUCUCUAUCACAUUAAACAGAGUUAAAUAACACAUAAAAAUCCAUGUACACACAAGGAAUAUACAUUCUCACAUGACAGUUUGCACCUAACAAAUAUAAGCCUCAAUACUACAUUGCAGUGUUUUAAGUUGUUUUUGCAUACUGGAUUUUAAUACUGAUUAUUUCAGUGGGGCAAAUGUAUUUUUUGAGGUAGAAAAACUGAACUAUUCAGAAUAUGUUCAUAUAUAUUUUACCCAAAGCUAAAGAUCAUUUUUUAUUCUUUUUCCACCUUGACCAAUUCAAUAUAGAAAUGUAGCCUUUAAACAAAGAUAUGUAGCAAUAUAAAUAACCAAGAGGAGUUUUUACAGAGUACAUGCUGACAUCUCAAAAUAUUGAUUUCAAAAAGCAAAUGGAACAACACAAUUGAUCUAGGAAGAACGAAAAGCCGGUGAGAGCCAGAGAAUGGGCAAGAUAUUAGUUCUCACAAAGAGAAGGGCACAUCUUCCAGAGAGAAUCGAAGGAAGACAGAAAAGGUGAAAGUGUGGAGCUUUUAAAGUGAGACUAAAUUUUGAUCAAAUAAUCUUACUGUAAAAGUAUAAGGUAAAGCCAAGAACAGAGAAUAAAUUUUAAGGAAAGUCCUAGAAGAGGGAAAAACACUAAGAUGGGAGGAAUUUAGUUCUAGUUUGUGUCUGAAUAAAAAGAAUUGAGAAGUCACCCAAUUUCACUAGAUUAAUUUUCUUACAUGUUCAUCAAGAAGCUGGUCCAUUCUAAUGAUUCCCAUGUUCUAUCCAUGGGGUUGGCUCUGAAUCUAACCCUUCGAGAUUAUGUUAGGCAGAAUCCACUGGAUCGAGUAACUUGUCAAUUCUAAAUCACCAGUGCAUUGCCCAGGAUUAGUUUUAUUAGAACAUUAUUAAUCAAGGAAUAUCUUAGGUGCUCUGAUAACAACAGACUAUAAAUGGUCAAC
rnacentral:lncRNA from 1 species